GGUACGGGCGUGAGCGUCGGUACGGGCGUGAGCGUCGGUACGGGCGUGAGCGUCGGUACAGGCUUGCGUGUCUAUUAAUUGUUAUGUCCUUCAAGCAUGAAUUAAGUAACACCUUCUGGUUAUAAUGCCAGCCUGGAAUAUGAAUAUAAGGUUAGCUUCUACAAUUGAUUUGGCAGGAAUCAAAUCCGAGUUCCUCUACUGCGGAUUCGGCAGGGACCAGGUUCAAUGCAUUAGGGAACCACAUUGAAGAAUUUCACAGAAGGAUCUGGAGGCCAGUUGCCUCUAGGAGUUGAAGGCAGCUUCCAGCUUACAGUCAGCAAAUAACUGGGGACCUUGUUCUUACAACCACAGGAAAUGAAUUAGAUCCACAACCUGAAUGAGCUUGGAAGCAGGUAAUUCCAUAGGUAAUCCUUUGGAAGAGGAGGCAGUAUGGCUGACACCUUAACUGUAGCUUUGUGAGAUCUGUAACAGAAGACUCAGUAGCUAUGCCUGGAUUCUUGAUCUGCAGGCAUUCUGGAUAUAUGUGUGAACAUCUUUAUCCAGAACUGAAUUAGUGCUUUAUUUUGAUUAUGAUCUACUUUGCUGAUACUUGAAGAAGAAACAGGACCCAAAGCUAACCACACAAUCCCUAAAUACACUUAGAACUCAUAUAGUUAAUAUGUUAUGUUUUAUUUCUCCUAUUCCCAUUUUGUUCAUUAUAUACCCUCCUGAAGCCACAUGGCAGAGAAUACACUUUAAUUGAAAUACA